GACGAACGCUGGCGGCGUGCCUAACACAUGCAAGUCGAGCGAGUGAAUCUCCUUCGGGAGUGAAGCUAGCGGCGGACGGGUGAGUAACACGUGGGCAACCUGCCUCAUAGAGGGGAAUAGCCUUUCGAAAGGAAGAUUAAUACCGCAUAAGCUUGUAGCUUCGCAUGAAGUAGCAAUUAAAGGAGCAAUCCGCUAUGAGAUGGGCCCGCGGCGCAUUAGCUAGUUGGUGAGGUAACGGCUCACCAAGGCGACGAUGCGCAGCCGACCUGAGAGGGUGAUCGGCCACAUUGGGACUGAGACACGGCCCAGACUCCUACGGGAGGCAGCAGUGGGGAAUAUUGCACAAUGGGGGAAACCCUGAUGCAGCAACGCCGCGUGAGUGAUGACGGCCUUCGGGUUGUAAAGCUCUGUCUUCAGGGACGAUAAUGACGGUACCUGAGGAGGAAGCCACGGCUAACUACGUGCCAGCCGCCGCCGUAA
rnacentral:rRNA from 1 species